CGUUGACCUAUCGAUACAUAGUUGACGUCGCCGCGAAUGGCCACCAGAGGCCAGACGCUGACGUCAUCGGCAAUUCUGACAUCGCCGAUGACGACGCUGGAUGCGUCAAUCAUGACGCGAAGACCGAUUUGUGGGAAAAAUGCUUUGUAGGGGCGCAGCUGAGCAGACAUAUAGACCUCAAAAAUACGGGAGCAUAAGAAGACUUUGGUGGCUUUUAUCUCCCUGUGCAACCCCUGAAAACGGUGAAAAUUGAGCAAAUCGUGCAAUUACACGGCGAAAAGGGUGAAAAAUCACCAUUCAGAAAAAAAGAUCGAAAAAAGGCUUGUGCAAAAAAAUGGGAUCCUCAUUCUCCAUCCAUCCUUCAGCCUUCCUUCCAUCCAUUGCCAUCCAUUCUUCAUUCCUCUUUCCAUUCCGUCCAUCCAUUUCGUCCAUCCAUUCCAUCCGUUCCUUCCUAUCUCCAUUCCACUCUUUCCAUCCAUCAUCAUUCCUUCCUUGUCCACUCCUUAUUUCAUCCUUCCAUCCUUCCACUUUCUCCGUCCUUCGCUUCCCCGUCCACCCGUCGCAUUUCCAUCUGUCCGGGCUCUUCCAUCCAUUCCUCCGUCUCCGUAUCCCGCAUGCUCCAUUCCAUCCAUCGAUUCCUCCUUCCUAUCCGCCUCCAUUCCAUUCAUCCAUUCCUCUCCAUCCAUCUUUCCAUCCUUUCGCUAUCCCAUCCAUCUUUUCCCUUAUCCUUUCCUCAUUUCAUCUUUCCAUGUCCUCCGGCUUUCCUCCGGUUCCUCCUCCAUCCUUUCUUCUUUCCGGCCUUCCGCCCGUCCAUCUUCCUUUCCUCCACUUUGUCCGUCCUCGGCUGUCCAUUUCCGAUUGCUCAUCUGGGCUCUUCCUCAUUUUCCAUCUUCAACCAUUCCUUCCUUCCUCCGGCGAUGUCCAUUUCCAUCCGUCCCAUCCAUUCCAUUCCUCGACUCCUCCCGUAUCCUUCCAUCCAGUUACUCCACUAUCCAGCCGUACUCCUUCCUUCCUUUCGUCCUCUUUCCUCCUCCAUCCCGUUCCUCCAUCCAUUCCUCUUCAUCCAUUUCCGUCAUCCAUCCGCUUUCAUCGGCUGCUGUCCGUCAAACACUAUCCUCUUCUUCCGCUCCUCAUUUCAAUUCCAUCCCUAGAUCCACCUCGGCCAGCCUCUAUUAUCGAGACUGAUAAAUCAGACCUCCAUCGACUAAAGUCAUAUCCGUUGACGAGGCACUACGGUGCUGAAGUAACAAAUGCCCUGCUUCCGGGAAAAGCCUCAAGCAUCAGGUAACAUCAAAUCGUACCCCAAACCGACACAGGUGGUCAGGUAAGAGAAUACCAAGGCGCUUGAGAACUCGGGUGAAGGAACCAGGCAAAAUGGUGCCGUAACUUCGGGAGAGCACGCUUGUAGGUGAAGUCCCUGCGGAUGGAGCUGAGACCAUCGAAGAUACCAGCUGGCUGCAACUGUUUAUUAAAACACAGCACUGUGCAAACACAAAGUGGACGUAUACGGUGUGACGCCUGCCCGGUGCCGGAAGGUUGAUGGCUAUCCGUAAGGAGCCUUGAUCAACCCCGGUAAACGGCGGCCGUAACUAUAACGGUCCUAUAGCGAAAUUCCUUGUCGGGUAAGUUCCGACCUGCACGAAUGGCGUAAUGAUGGCCGGGCUUGUCUCCACCCGAGACUCAGUGAAAUUGAACUCGCUGUGAAGAUGCAGUGUACCCGCGGCAAGACGGAAAGACCCCGUGAACCUUUACUAUAGCUUGACACUGAACAUUGAGCCUUGAUGUGUAGGAUAGGUGGGAGGCUUUGAGCGUGGACGCCAGUCUGCGUGGAGCCAACCUGAAAUACCACCCUUUAAUGUUUGAUGUUCUAACGUUGGCUGACCGGGGUUGCGGACAGUGUCUGGUGGGUAGUUUGACUGGGGCGGUCUCCUCCCAAAGCGUAACGGAGAGCACGAAGGUUAGCUAAUCACGGUCGGACAUCAGGAGGUUAGUGCAAUGGCAUAAGCUAAGCGACUGCGAGCGUGACGGCGCGAGCAGGUGCGAACGCAGGUCAUAGUGAUCCGGUGGUUCUGAAUGGAAGGGCCAUCGCUCAACGGAUAAAAGGUACUCCGGGGAUAACAGGCUGAUACCGCCCAGAGUUCAUAUCGACGGCGGUGUUUGGCACCUCGAUGUCGGCUCAUCACAUCCUGGGGCUGAAGUAGGUCCCAAAGGGUAUGGCUGUUCGCCAUUUAAAGUGGUACGCGAGCUGGGUUUAGAACGUCGUGAGACAGUUCGGUCCCUAUCUGCCGUGGGCGCUGGAGAAUUGGAGGGGGCUGCUCCUAGUACGAGAGGACCGGAGUGGACGCAUCGCUGGUGUUCGGGUUGUCAUGCAAUGGCACUGCCCGGUAGCUAAAUGCGGAAGAGAUAAGUGCUGAAAGCAUCUAAGCACGAAACUUGCCCCGAGAUGAGUUCUCCUGAGACUAUAAGUCUCCUGAAGGAACGUUAAAGACGAUGACGUUGAUAGGCCGGGUGUGUAAGCGCAGCGAUGCGUUGAGCUAACCGGUACUAAUGAACCGUGAGGCUUAACC
rnacentral:rRNA from 1 species